rnacentral:rRNA from 1 species
UAACCUGCCCAAGAGAUCGGGAUAACACCUGGAAACAGAUGCUAAUACCGGAUAACAACAGAUGAUGCCUAUCAACUGUUUAAAAGAUGGUUCUGCUAUCACUCUUGGAUGGACCUGCGGUGCAUUAGCUAGUUGGUAGGGUAACGGCCUACCAAGGCGAUGAUGCAUAGCCGAGUUGAGAGAUUGAUCGGCCACAUUGGGACUGAGACACGGCCCAAACUCCUACGGGAGGCAGCAGCG